CGCAAGGGAGACAUGAGAGGCCAGGUCAUGGCUGUCAAGGUCAUCUCCAAAGCCAAGAUUCGUGAGAAGUACCUAUCAUUGAAGAAAGGUACCCGACCAGACAUAACAACGACAAUUGAAGAUGAGCUUCACAAUGCUCGAUCUUCAUUUGAGCAAGCCCGUUUCAACCUGGUCACUUCACUUUCCCAUGUCGAGGCAACGAAGAGAUAUGAAUUUUUGGAGGCUGUUAGUGCGACGAUGGACUCACAUCUUCGAUAUUUUAAACAAGGAUAUGAACUAUUGCAUCAAAUGGAACCAUAUAUUAAUCAGUAGUUGGGAGAGGUGAUCUUUGCAUGAGUCCAGUAGAAUUUGAACCUUCUGUAAGUGAUGAUUUAGUACUGGAGAAGAAAUCUGGAAAUGGGCAGCAUGAUGUCAGAGGCACACAUCAUCACAGAACCAGCAUGAAACUAAAAAACCAAUUGACUUGCUUAGGAAAGUUGAUGGCAAUAAUAUGUGUGCUGACUGUGGUGCUUCAGAACCUGAUUGGGCAUCGUUAAACCUUGGCGCACUUCUAUGCAUAGAGUGUUCUGGGGUGCACAGAAAUCUUGGAGUGCAUAUAUCAAAGGUUAGAUCUCUGACACUUGAUGUCGGAGUUUGGGAGCCAUCUGUAAUCAAUCUCUUUCAGUCAUUAGGAAACAUGUUUGUCAACAGUAUUUGGGAAGAGACGCUGCCAGAUGAUAAUUCAAGUGCUGAUGGAUCAGACACAUCACAGUACCUCUCUGUUAGCAAGCCUAAUCUCUUUAUGAGAAUUUUGGUUUAUUUUGUUUGAUUCCGGCUCUCAUCAAGUGACUCCUCCCCCUCACGCUGACUUUGUGGACAGAUGUCUCAAUUCUAGUGGUGGAGCUACGAACAACAAUCUGAUGUACUGAUCAAGAGCGAUGGAGCUAAUGUUUGAACUUGUGAACUAAAAAUAUGAACUAUGGAUGUGAACUUAUGUAUUUGGAAUUAUGUGAAUUUGUGAACUUAUGUAUUUGGACUUGUGUGAACUUGUGAUAUGAACAUAUAUCCAUGUGUUUGAAAUCUGUAUUGUAUGUGAUAUUCUGUGUUGCAUGUGAUUUUAUG